rnacentral:rRNA from 1 species
CCUACGGGAGGCAGCAGUGGGGAAUAUUGGGCAAUGGAGGAAACUCUGAUCCAGCAACGCCGCGUGAAUGAUGAAGGCCUUCGGGUUGUAAAGCUCUUUCCUAAGGGAAGAAGAAAGUGACGGUACUUCAGGCAUAAGCCUCGGCUAACUACGUGCCAGCAGCCGCGGUAAUACGUAGGAGGCGAGCGUUAUCUGGAAGGACUGGGCGUAAAGGGUGCGUAGGUGGUUUGGCAAGUUAGUAGCGUAACUCCAAGGCUCAACCUUGGAACUGCUACUGAAACUGUUGGACUUGAGUGCAGGAGAGGCAAGCGGAAUUCCUAGUGUAGCGGUGGAAUGCGUAGAUAUUAGGAGGAACACCAGUGGCGAAGGCGGGUUGCUGGACUGUAACUGACGCUGAGGCACGAAAGCGUGGGGAGCAAACAGGAUUAGAUACCCCGGUAGUC